UCUUUCUGUUAAUUAGUUCUUAAUAAAAGAAUGUGAUCUCUGAUAGCAAAUUAUCUUGCAUUUGUAUGAAUUUUAGGCUGUAAAAGCGGGUCUUCUUAAAAUCCUUUCCAAAAUGGGGAUCUCAUUGCUUUCAAGUUACUGCGGUGCACAGAUUUUUGAAAUCUAUGGAUUAGGAAAGGAAGUUGUCGAUCUUGCAUUCAGAGGAAGUAUGUCAAAAAUUGGGAGAUUAAAUG